rnacentral:rRNA from 1 species
UAGGGAAUCUUCGGCAAUGGACGAAAGUCUGACCGAGCAACGCCGCGUGAGUGAAGAAGGUUUUCGGAUCGUAAAACUCUGUUGUUAGAGAAGAACAAGGACGUUAGUAACUGAACGUCCCCUGACGGUAUCUAACCAGAAAGCCACGGCUAACUACGUGCCAGCAGCCGCGGUAAUACGUAGGUGGCAAGCGUUGUCCGGAUUUAUUGGGCGUAAAGCGAGCGCAGGCGGUUUCAUAAGUCUGAUGUGAAAGCCCCCGGCUCAACCGGGGAGGGUCAUUGGAAACUGGGAGACUUGAGUGCAGAAGAGGAGAGUGGAAUUCCAUGUGUAGCGGUGAAAUGCGUAGAUAUAUGGAGGAACACCAGUGGCGAAGGCGGCUCUCUGGUCUGUAACUGACGCUGAGGCUCGAAAGCGUGGGGAGCAAACAGG